GCUCAGGAUGAACGCUGGCGGCGUGCUUAACACAUGCAAGUCGAACGAAGCACCUUGAUUUGAUUCUUCGGAUGAAGAUCUUGGUGACUGAGUGGCGGACGGGUGAGUAACGCGUGGGUAGCCUGCCUCAUACAGGGGGAUAACAGUUAGAAAUGACUGCUAAUACCGCAUAAGACCACAGCACCACAUGGUGCAGGGGUAAAAACUCCGGUGGUAUGAGAUGGACCCGCGUCUGAUUAGGUAGUUGGUGGGGUAACGGCCUACCAAGCCGACGAUCAGUAGCCGACCUGAGAGGGUGACCGGCCACAUUGGGACUGAGACACGGCCCAAACUCCUACGGGAGGCAGCAGUA
rnacentral:rRNA from 1 species